CAGCCGUAAACUAUGCGCGUUAGGUGUAUCGGUGACCACGAGUUACCGAGGUGCCGAAGGGAAACCGUGAAACGUGCCGCCUGGGAAGUACGGUCGCAAGGCUGAAACUUAAAGGAAUUGGCGGGGGAGCACCACAACAGGUGGAGCCUGCGGUUUAAUUGGACUCAACGCCGGGAAGCUCACCGGAUAGGACAGCAGAAUGAUUGCCGGGCUGAAGACUCUGCAUGACUAGCUGAGAGGAGGUGCAUGGCGUAG
rnacentral:rRNA from 1 species